GACGAACGCUGGCGGCGUGCUUAACACAUGCAAGUCGAGCGGUAAGGCCCUUUCGGGGGUACACGAGCGGCGAACGGGUGAGUAACACGUGGGUGACCUGCCCUCAGCUCUGGGAUAAGCCUGGGAAACCGGGUCUAAUACUGGAUAUGACUCCAUGACGCAUGUUGUGGGGUGGAAAGCCUUGUGCGGCUGAGGAUGGGCCCGCGGCCUAUCAGCUUGUUGGUGGGGUGANGGCCUACCAAGGCGACGACGGGUAGCCGGCCUGAGAGGGCGACCGGCCACACUGGGACUGAGACACGGCCCAGACUCCUACGGGAGGCAGCAGUGGGGAAUCUUGCGCAAUGGGCGAAAGCCUGACGCAGCGACGCCGCGUGAGGGAUGACGGCCUC
rnacentral:rRNA from 1 species